rnacentral:lncRNA from 1 species
GGGUUUCAUGCACAAUUGAAAAGGUAGAAUAUCAGUCACAUUUUCUACAGCGAUAUAACAUAUAUUUAUGAGCCAGAGACUGUUCUACUCCUUGGAAAAGUGGAUAGCCGUUAAUUUUUCUUCAAUGCACCAUGUUUGAAUUCACUUUUUUUUUUUCACCCUUCAUUUCUGGCAACAAUGGAGGAGUACUUGAUCAAAAUAAUACAUCCAUGAUUUCUCAGUGCUUAGUCACUACAAUCAAAAUGGAAAAUUAUAUGUGAACAUUCUCAUGUGCAACAACUGAACAGGUUCCCUAUACUCACCAUCUGCCACCAAUGGCUCCAAAGAAUAACACAAACUACUUUCUUCCCCUGCUCAGCCUCUGCAAGUGGUAAUUAAUGCUUCCCAUCGACUUGUUUUUCUGGCUCUAACAAAGGAGCCAGACAUUUAGACACAGUCUUCGAUGAAUAUUUGCUAGUUGAAGAAAGGGACAGGUUUUAAGCCUAAUAAAAAAGGAUGAGAAGCAAAUGGGGAAAAGAAACUUCGAACAACACAGGAAAUCUAUACCUGAGACUCCAUGCAAGUACCCAAAAGGUCCUUCUGCCUUACACAUUUCUCAUCACAGUUGCUGUUAAGAGCCAAGCAACUGAGAAAUGUUACCAUUUCCUUCAUGCAACACUUCAUCCAGAAAAACCCAAAAUGUAUGCACCAGAAUUAAACCCAGCAACCCCAAAUUCGCCACAAAAUAGGCAAAAGCAUUAAAAUUGGAAGAAGAACAAACAAACAAAAAGAAAACAGCGCACCUAUAAAAUGCAGGACGGGCCUAGAGAGUAGUGGAUCCUUCCAACAAUGUGAAAGUAAAACCAUAUUCCCCCACAAUGAAUGAUUAUGCUCAUGAGCUAAUGCAUUCCAACAAUUUACAAUUGUAUGAGAAGUAGAAUUCAUAGUGAAAACCACAUAUCUCAAUCAUGAAAUUCAACCAGAAAUAUCAGACAUUGAUACAAACAAAAACAGAGAGAAUGGAGAACCCAGUGAGGGAUU